GAUCCUGGCUCAGAUUGAACGCUGGCGGCAGGCCUAACACAUGCAAGUCGAACGGUAACAGGAAACAGCUUGCUGUUUCGCUGACGAGUGGCGGACGGGUGAGUAAUGUCUGGGAAACUGCCUGAUGGAGGGGGAUAACUACUGGAAACGGUAGCUAAUACCGCAUAACGUCGCAAGACCAAAGAGGGGGGACCUUCGGGCCAUUCUUCGCCAGUCGGAUGUCGCCCAGAGUGGGUAUUAGUCUUUGGUUGGGUA
rnacentral:rRNA from 1 species